UGCCAGCCGCCGCGGUAAUACGGAGGGUGCAAGCGUUAAUCGGAAUUACUGGGCGUAAAGCGCGCGUAGGCGGUUUAUCAAGUUGGGCGUGAAAGCCCGGGGCUCAACCCCGGAACUGCGCUCAAAACUGGUAGGCUAGAGACCGGGAGAGGUAAGCGGAAUUCCUAGUGUAGAGGUGAAAUUCGUAGAUAUUAGGAAGAACACCAGUGGCGAAGGCGGCUUACUGGACCGGUACUGACGCUGAGGUACGAAAGCGUGGGGAGCGAACGGGAUUAGAUA
rnacentral:rRNA from 1 species